CAGGAAAGAACAAAUUCAAAUAUGCAAGCAAGGGCACCAUUUUCACUCAUAGUAACAUGUUGGCUUUGGUGGACCAGAAAGCUGGCAGCAAGAGACUGCUGGAGCCAUUUGCUACUAUUUCUUCCUCUCUAAUGCACCCUUCUGUCCUUUCACUGAUGACUACUGAGAGGUUUGGGGGAAAGAGAACCAAUUACAGAAUGCCAAUGCAUGUUCCAAAAUCCACUCAAGGGACUUACAUCUGGCAGAGUCUACUAUAUAUGGUGAUAAAUAUUGAUUGCUGGAGGCAGCUGGAAGUCUCAUUACCAGGCAUCAUUCUUCACCUGACACCCUCACCCCAGCCCCUACAAUGAAGCUGUUGGAAAAUGAUGAGAGUUUUCAGCCCACUUCCUCAUUUAUUGUCCAUCAAUCAGAGUUGUUUUUCUCUUGUCUGGAGAGGUCCCAGGAAUUUUCUGUCAGGGAAAACAAACCUGGAUUUAUACUGGCCUGUGAUGCUCACUUAGUGUCUCUGAUCACUGAGAGAGAUCACUGACUUUGAUUUAUUGAUUAUUCACUAGCCUAAUUAAUGAACUGAUCUUUCAUAUCUGGAACAUUGUGUCUUGGAACUUUAUAAACCACAGGACAGACAUAUCACUGGUAUUUCUCUACUUUACCUGUUUUGGAAUCUCUUUAUAAUGCUCUCAAUCUCAGAAAUUAAUGUGAUAUAAAAACAGAAGAAAUAAAUACACCCUCAAAUGAUCUCA
rnacentral:lncRNA from 1 species